UUCAAAGUGAGUUGUUUAUUUAUUUGCAAUUCUUCUUCUGAACUUAAUCACACGAUACUUUCAGUGUAUGUUAUUAUUUUGUUAUUCUAAAUUGCGUUUGAGCUCAAAAUAUGCAAGUCAUAAAAAACAAAAUUCUUCACAUUUGAUUAGCAAAAAAUAUAAUUCGUCCAAACACGAAGUAUUAUUUAUUCAAUACUCGAACUGUUUCAUAUUAACAUUAAUAAACGAAGAGUAUAUUUAAUUACUCUGGUUAAAUAAUUAUUGUUUACAUCACUUCAUUCAGACGUGAGUUCAUCCUCGAAAGUGAGAAUAGUGCAUAUGUAAUAGGCGUUGCCUGUCAAAAAUAAAAUAAGUUCGAUCAUAAAUUCCAAUCCUAAUCCUCUUCAAUCCUUUAAUUGAUUCGGCCUGAAUUUUCUCCAACUUUUCCAUCGUAAAUGACUUUAACGGAAGCAGUUUAGGUUUGCAAAGAACGAAAGUGAGCUCGUCUUCACAAUGGAGAUAACCUCGCUUUGGAAUAACUUCUUUAAUUUUGGACGAUGAUCCAAUACCACCAUCAUCUUCGGCAAUGGGGGUUUGUGCCUUACUUGGAUUAAUGGGAGGGAACCGAUUAAGGCAUGUGUAUUACCCGGAUCCUAGCUACGGUGACACAACAGAAAUCGGACCCAAAAAUAAUGUAUUUGGAAUGAAUUGAGCAGAAGUUACUCAAAUAAAUGUAUCUGUAAGUG